rnacentral:SRP_RNA from 1 species
GCUGGGCGUGGUGGCAGGCGCCUGUAAUCCCAGCUUCUUGGGAGGCUGAGGCAGGAGAAUCACUUGAACCCAGGGGGCAGAGGUUGCAGUGAGCCGAGAUCACGCCACUGAACUCCAGCCUGGGCAACAGAGUGAGACUCUGUCUCAA